CCAAGACAGCAUCUCUUGGAGAUUGCUCCUUGGUGGAGAUUGCCUUAGUUUUUCCAGCCAAGGCAUUGACAUUGGCACUGAUGGAGGAAUGAUGGAGAACAUCUGAAGGGCAGAUCUGUUAAUAAGGAUGUCUGGAUGUUCCAUGUGGAUGUUUGUUGCUCUAUCUGGCAGAGUUAUGUCCUAGUGUAUUCACUCUCAUCAGCCAGAAACAACAAAUACAGAACAAUACCUGUGAAGCAUGAGUACUUCACUUAAUUGUUUGGUUGGAAAAAUGUACUUCAUUUUUCUGGAAGUUAUGAUAUUUAUGUCUGGUAAAUGUUGUGGCAUGUGAAGGAAAGAAAAGUUGAGGAUGACUGAUUUCACUAUGUAAUAAUUCUUCCCUAAGGCUAAAAAAUAUUUUUGUAGAGCUGUCCAAAUUUGUGACAAAUUCUACUCAUGCACACAAAAAAAUGCACACAAGAAAACAUCUCUUAUAAAAAUAUGACAUCCUCUUUCCCUUGACUAUGCCUGCAGUAGCACAAAUUUUCACUUGUGUCCUUUCUUUCUCUGCCUCUGCUGUUUGUCUUCCAUGGUGUUCAUGACUUCAGUCUGUAUUCUGUCAAAUUGCUGCAUACGCUUCCUCAGUGAACCUGCUUAGUUUUUUUUCUCCCAAAUCAGUUUAUCAUCCCUUUGUCUGCAGUUAACUCCUUUCAAUUGUGUUUUUGUUCCACAGAUUCACAGGUGUCAUCGUUUUAUGAUUUUUGGUUUCUGGUAUUCCACAGCAUAACAUCAUGCAGUGUGCUGGGAGUUAAAGUGUUAGUGCUCCAGUUCUGGGUACCUGUUCGGAAGAGAAGAAUUACACUGCACAGGGGGCUUUGUGGUCAGUGAGGAGGUAAAACUCCUGUCAAGAUCACCUGAUUGGGCUUUUCUCUUUGGUACUCUUUUCUUUUGCCUCUCCUCACCGCUGCCUGUCCUGGCUGUGCGCAAUGCUUCAGUGUCAGUGUAAGGACUUCAGUUUUUCAGACAGUCUCACUCACUCACAUCAUAUAUUUGAUUUAUUAGCUUCAAUUCUAAUUAUUUUGUAUUAUAGUGUGUUAUCUUACAUUCUGAUACCAUAUUUAGUAAAUUAGUUUGUUUCUCCUCAGACCAUUGCCACUGUUUUUAAUUAUUUUGGGGUCCCCUGUUUCCCUUUUCCAGAGGUGCGGAUUUUGUAAAAUACCUCUGCCCUACUAGUAACAGAACUGGGCUGAACCAGCCCAUAAACUGUUGGCAGCAGGUAGAGUGUGAUAAUUUAAGGGAACAAUUUAAUUAAAGGUUUUAUAAUCUGUCUAAAAGCAAUUUGGAGACUGUUUAAAAUCUACAAGACCUGCUCUGAAAGUAAUGCCUCCUAUUUUAUUAGGUUGGUCCCCAGUGUCAGAGGUAGAUGUUUGUGGUGUGAUGGUGGAGUCUAAACCUUUCCACCAAUAUUGUUACAUUUUUUUGCUGUGUGACAUGUGGCAGCAGAAGAGGAGUCUCAGUCUGAGAGAAUGGCCUGUCUGAAGGAAAGGUGUGUUGCUGAAUUCCACUGCAAAACAAAACAAUAACAAAAAAAAGGCACCUGGAGAUAUUAAUUCAUACUUGUAGAAUGUUGAUGGAAACCAAACUGUGUAUGUGAGCACAGUGAGGCAGUGGGUGGUGCAUCUUGGCAGUGGUAUCAUAUCAUCAUAGUAUCAUAG